rnacentral:rRNA from 1 species
CAGCCGCCGCGGUAAAACGUAGGUGGCAAGCGUUGUCCGGAAUUAUUGGGCGUAAAGGGCUCGCAGGCGGUUUCUUAAGUCUGAUGUGAAAGCCCCCGGCUCAACCGGGGAGGGUCACUGGAAACUGGGAAACUUGAGUGCAGAAGAGGAGAGUGGAAUUCCACGUGUAGCGGUGAAAUGCGUAGAGAUGUGGAGGAACACCAGUGGCGAAGGCGACUCUCUGGUCUGUAACUGACGCUGAGGAGCGAAAGCGUGGGGAGCGAACAGGAUUAGAGACCCGAGUAGUCCCUGUCUCUUAUAC